GACGAACGCUGGCGGCGUGCUUAACACAUGCAAGUCGAGCGGUAAGGCCCUUUCGGGGGUACACGAGCGGCGAACGGGUGAGUAACACGUGGGUGACCUGCCCUCAGCUCUGGGAUAAGCCUGGGAAACCGGGUCUAAUACUGGAUAUGACUCCAUGACGCAUGUUGUGGGGUGGAAAGCCUUGUGCGGCUGAGGAUGGGCCCGCGGCCUAUCAGCUUGUUGGUGGGGUGAUGGCCUACCAAGGCGACGACGGGUAGCCGGCCUGAGAGGGCGACCGGCCACACUGGGACUGAGACACGGCCCAGACUCCUACGGGAGGCAGCAGUGGGAAUCUUGCGCAAUGGGCGAAAGCCUGACGCAGCGACGCCGCGUGAGGGAUGACGGCCUGGUGUAAC
rnacentral:rRNA from 1 species